UCAUACCCGGGGUCAUGGAUUUUUUGAAAAAUGACAAGGUUCUUUUUUGAGAGUUACGGGCCUCAAAUUCAUCGUAAACUUGACAAAUGGUGUUGCGGACCUACUUUAAAGCUUUUAAGGUUGUUUCGAGCCAAAAAAAAUUUUUGUUUAAAUUUCUAAAUUUUGAGUUUUUUUGCAUAUCUGGGGUCAUGGAUUUUUUGAAAAAUGACCAAGUUCUUUUUUAAGAGUUACGGGCCUCAAAUUCAUCAGAAACUCCACAAAUGGUGUUGCGGACGUAUUUUCAAGCUUUUUAGGUUGUUUCGACUAUAAAAAUAUUUUUCUAUAUUUUUCUCAUUUUUUGAGUUUUUUUGCAUACCCGGGGUCAUGGAUUUUUUGAAAAAUGACUAGGCUCUUUUUUGGAAGUUACGGGCCUCAAAUUCAUCGGAAACUUGACAAAUCGUGUUGCGGACCUACUUUAAAGCUUUUAAGGUUGUUUCCAGCCAAAAAAUUUUUUUUUUAAAUUUAUCAUUUUUGAGUUUUUUUUGCAUAUCCGGGGUCAUGGAUUUUUUGAGAAAUGACCAAGUUCUUUUUUUAGAGUUACGGGCCUGAAAUUCAUGGGAAACUCCACAAAUGGUGUUGCAGACGUAUUUUCAAGCUUUUUUGGUUGUUUCAACUAUAAAAAAAUUUUUCUAUAUUUUUCUCAUUUUUUGAGUUUUUUUGCAUACCCGGGGUCAUGGAUUUUUUGAAAAAUGACAAGGUUCUUUUUUGAGAGUUACAGGCCUCAAAUUCAUCAGAAACUUGACAAAUCGUGUUGCGGACCUACUUUAAAGCUUUUAAGGUUGUUUGGAGCCAAAGAAAAUUUUUGUAUAAAUUUCUAAAUUUUGAGUUUUUUUGCAUAUCCGGGGUCAUGGAUUUUUUGAAAAAUGACUAAGUUCUUUUUUGAGAGUUACGGGCCUCAAAUUCAUCGGAAACUUAACAAAUAGUGUUGCGUAUGUAUUUUCAAGCUUUUUAGGUUGUUUCGAGCCAAACAAAUAUUUUGUAUAAAUUUCUAAAUUUUGAGUUUUUUUGCAUAUCCGGGGUCAUGGAUUUUUUGAAAAAUGACUAAGUUCUUUUUUGAGAGUUACGGGCCUCAAAUUCAUCGGAAACUUAACAAAUAGUGUUGCGUAUGUAUUUUCAAGCUUUUUAGGUAGUUUCGAGCCAAAAAAAUAUUUUGUAUAAAUUUCUAAAUUUUGAGUUUUUUCGCAUAUCCGGGGUCAUGGAUUUUUUUAAAAAUAACUAAGUUCUUUUUUAAGAGUUACGGGCCUCAAAUUUAUCAGAAACUCCACAAAUGGUGUUGCGGACGUAUUUUCAAGCUUUUUAGGUUGUUUCGACUUUAAAAAAAAUUUUCUAUAUUUUUCUCAUUUUUUGAGUUUUUUUGCAUACCCGGGGUCAUGGAUUUUUUGGAAAAUGACAAGGUUCUUUUUUGAGAGUUACAGGCCUCAAAUUCAUCGGAAACUUCACAAAUGGUGUUGCAAACCCACUUUAAAGCUUUUAAGGUUGUUUCGAGCCAAAAAAAAUUUUUGUAUAAAUUUCUAAAUUUUGAGUUUUUUUGCAUAUCCGGGGUCAUGAAUUUUUUGAAAAAUGACAAGAUUCUUUUUUAAGAGUUACGGGCCUCAAAUUCAUCAGAAACUCCACAAAUGGUGUUGCAGACGUAUUUUCAAGCAUUUUUGGUUGUUUCGACUAUAAAAAAAUUUUCUAUAUUUUUCUCAUUUUUUGAGUUUUUUUGCAUACCCGGGGUCAUGGAUUUUUUGGAAAAUGACAAAGUUCUUUUUUGAGAGUUACGGGCCUCAAAUUCAUCGGAAACUUGACAAAUGGCGUUGCGGACCUACUUUAAAGCUUUUAAGGUUGUUUCGAGCCAAAAAAAAUUUUUGUAUAAUUUUCUAAAUUUUGAGUUUUUUUGCAUAUCCGGGGUCAUGGAUUUUUUGAAAAAUGACAAGGUUCUUUUUUGAGAGUUACGGGCCUCAAAUUCAUCAGAAACUCCACAAAUGCUGUUGCGGACCUACUUUAAAGCUUUUAAGGUUGUUUCCAGCCAAAAAAAUUUUUUUUUUAAAUUUAUCAUUUUCGAGUUUUUUUUGCAUAUCCGGGGUCAUGGAUUUUUUGGAAAAUGACAAGGUUCUUUUUUGAGAGUUACGGGCCUCAAAUUCGUCGGAAACUUGACAAAUGGUGUUGCGGACGUAUUUUCAAGCUUUUUAGGUAGUUUCGAGCCAAAAAAAUAUUUUGUA